AUUAUUUUUUUUGCACAAUUUACACUUUAUACACUAUAAAGGUGUCAAAAAAUAUUUUAUUUCUUACAUCCAAUUAGAUAAAAAUAUGGUCAAGACUAUCAAAUUUGUGUACGUUAUAUUUUUAUUUCUUUCAAUAUUUCUUGUUGCAAAGACCAUUGAACAUGAUGUAAUGGAAUAUCAGCUUAUAAAAAAAGAAGUAUAUAAAUGUCAAACGGUUGAUGAUUGUCCAAGACUUAAUACUUUUCUCAUGGCCAAAUGCAUUGACAACAAAUGUGUCUAUAAGUAUGUGACCUAAGAGAGUACACUUACUUUGUGCAAGGAGGAAUAAUUUGGUACUCUAAGAUGUUGGUAAUAAAAUGAAACAUUGAAAUAAAGCAUAUUAAAAUAAGAUUAUUGUUUUCUCUCUUGGAAUUAGAUGUAUUGCUAUAGCAUAAUUAUCCCACUUCCAAAUAUUUAUCUUUAAUAUACUACAUAUUUAUUUAUUAUAUGCUAUUAAAAUAACAUAUGAUAUUUUAAUAAACUACAUAUUUAUUUAUUA